UGGGGAAUAUUGGACAAUGGGCGAAAGCCUGAUCCAGCCAUGCCGCGUGUGUGAAGAAGGUCUUCGGAUUGUAAAGCACUUUAAGUUGGGAGGAAGGGCAGUAAGCGAAUACCUUGCUGUUUUGACGUUACCGACAGAAUAAGCACCGGCUAACUCUGUGCCAGCAGCCGCGGUAAUACAGAGGGUGCAAGCGUUAAUCGGAAUUACUGGGCGUAAAGCGCGCGUAGGUGGUUCGUUAAGUUGAAUGUGAAAGCCCCGGGCUCAACCUGGGAACUGCAUCCAAAACUGGCGAGCUAGAGUAGGGCAGAGGGUGGUGGAAUUUCCUGUGUAGCGGUGAAAGGCGUAGAUAUAGGAAGGAACGCCAGUGGCGAAGGCGACCACCUGGGCUCAUACUGACACUGAGGUGCGAAAGCGUGGGGAGCAAACAGG
rnacentral:rRNA from 1 species